ensembl:lncRNA
AGUUGAUGUGGGCGCUUUCUUCUGCCCCGACUCCCGGCUGUCCGCUUCCUCCCCAGACCCCUCCUGUGAGCUCUGGGAGCUACAGAAUAAGGACACUCCUUGGCUCCAAGCCAGCCCCGGCUUGCUCUGGAGCCUGGAUUUCCCCCUCCGACCCCAUCACCGCAAGGGUCUGUGCAUGGGAAUCUGCUCCCGAGGCUCCCUCAGGCGCCGCGCCGCCGGGGAUACGCCUUUCACCGCCCCAGCAAUUGGAGCGCUGAGUCCAAGUCCUGAUUCCACGAGAGGCGAGAGGCGGAUGAAGCCCCAACGCUGAAAUUCUUUCCUCUAGGUCUUUGGCAGCGGCUGGGGCCAAAGCCCGGGCAAGACCAGGGCCUUCGGCACCCGGACUCAGGCUCCGUCCUCUCUACCAGCGUGCGGCUACAAUGACACGGCAGGUGGGCAAGCAUAGCACGCCCCGACAGUCAUGUUUUAUUUAGUAUGUACUAAAAAUACGGCUGGCCUGUGAAACCCACAGGUGCGAUUGCUUAAAAUGAGGCUAAUGUGGACAUGUGAAUGGUUAAUAAUGAGUUGAUUAAAAUAUUCAGAAAUCGUCUACUGGAGACGGGCAAACUGCAAAACGGUAGCAUGGGAGCAACUGAUCUUCGAGAAAGUCCAGGCUCCGGCAAGCCGUGGGUUUGAAUUUACACAUGUGCACAUAAUGGGUGUGAAUAAACCUUUCUUCAAAAAAAACCAGACCAAGUCAAGUCAGUUAUUUGCCGUGGACAGGUGCCAAGGCUGGCUGCUUCAGUCCCCACGCUAGUCGCCCCCGACCCUGCUUCCACAGCCCAGCCUGGGAAGUGCAAAAGGAGUCACGCCCAACGCCCUGCACUAGCGGCCUCCCGGACACUAACUGCGUCCUCUGCGCCUGCUGCAGCUUGUCCCUUAGUCCUCCCUGGACCGAGGGCGUGAAGUUGGCUGUGCCAUCAGCACGCGGCCCGCUCACUUCGGGGCUCACUGUCCUGGACACACAGAGUUGGACGCCUCCAGCAGCCCCACGCUUCACCCCAAGGCCUGCAAGCCUGACAGCUUCGGAGGCCACUGCCUUCAGAGAAGGUGACAGAGGGCCAUGUCUGAAACAUUCUCCCACAACCAGGAACCCUCAGCAGCCGCUGAAGAGGAAAGGCAGUUAAAUGGAAAGACUUCUGAGCAAGUGGAAGAAAAGGCACCUGUGACCCUAGGGAGGGGCUCCGGCAGGAAGGGGCAGUGCCCUUGCCCUCUUCACCUAGCCUCCAGGUGGCUCCCCACUUGAAAUUUCGGAGGAUGGCAGAAACCAACCUGCAAGGAAAUGAAAGAGGGCACGGCAACCUUAAGACCAGAGCAGCCCACGAUAUUUUUUAAUGAGGCCAAAAAUAGGAGACCUGCAAAAGACCCCUGAAAAUAAUGCCUGGAAGUUGCGAAACAUCAAACUGACACUGCACAAAAGAGGGCCAGCUGAGCAGGAGAAAAGCUUGAGAAGCGUCCAGAACAAUGUAGGUGGAGAGGCUAAGAAGAAAGAGGAGCCCACAUGGAAUGAAUAACCAUGGUUGGGACGGAGGAAGGUUCACCAGAACCGGGAGGACUGAGAUUGGACAUUGAGAUAAAUUAAAGAGUGUUCUUUAAAACUG